GUGCCUGGGUGGCUCAGUCGGUUAAGCGUCAGACUCUUGGUUUUGACUCAGAUCAUGAUCUCAGGGCCGUGAGACCCAGCCCCGCACUGGGCUCCGAGCUAAGGAGGGAGUCUGCUUGAAGAUUCUCUCCUGCUGCCCCUCCCCCAGCUCGGGCACUCACUCUUGCACGCGCGCGCUCUCUCUCUCUCUAAAAUAAAAAUAAAUUAAUCUUUGAACAUACACUUGGGAAUAUCCAGGGUUCGCGAGCGAGCACUAUACCGGUAAUGACACUGAAAAAGACCCAAACCAUGACUAUAGACUUUGACAGCGGCGAGGAGAAAGUUCUCCAUCCAAUUUCCAAACAUUAGUUCUCUAUAAAUACUUUUCCAUUUCCGUCUCAGAGAAACCACCUCUCCCGAUAAUAAGCCCUUGAAACUUUUGGAAGGAAAUGUCAAAUGAGAAAAACUAGCUUGUCCUGACUUGUGGUAUUCAGCUGUUCCUUUCUUCGGUCAACAAACCCUCAGGGAGCGCUGUCUGUGUGCCUGGCUGGGGACACCAGGAGACAAUGCCCAGGCCUUUGUCCCUAAGGAGCUCACCGUCUAGGGGCCUCCGGGUGCGAGUUCAGACGGACGGCUGAAAUUGACCGAGUGGCUGGCCGUCUUCCACGCAGAACCUCACGGAAAAUGGCCAUUCUGGAGACGUGAUCCAACAACCAUUUCUUGGAAUCGUAAACGUCUGAGAGUUGCUGCAAUACUCUCGAUUAUCUUGUUUUCUUUACCCAUCAGAGCCAAGAUUCUAAUGCUACAUCUGUCCCAAGUAAUCUUUGGAAAAAUCCAGAUCCCACUUGGCUGUGGCUCUUUUUGAGACCUGAAUUGGAAUCCGAAUCCUUUGGCGUCUCCACUUGAAUUCCACCUUCUGAGAAAAAUGUAAAUAACAACAACAUAAACCCUUACAUAAGAUUUAGCGUAAGGGGGGAGCUUCCAGGAAUGGUGAGACGGUGCCCUUCCCCCUGUUCACUCUGUCCUGCGUAAUGGAGCUGAUGGUCUGGUGGUGGGAUUCUGGCACUUACGCUGAGCAGGACCCAGGACACAGAUACAGUCUCUGCUGGGUGGGGUGUGAAGGAUGUGUAGUUAGGAACGACUAGAAGGAAAGUUUCUAGGAGGAGGGGCCAGAGACAGGCAGAGCCAGCCUGAGAAGAGCCUUGAGCCUUGAGAAGCCCAAAAGGUUGGGCCUAUGCCCGUGAGCUGGGGAAGCUGGCAGAGAGCAUCAGCAAGACAGUGGAUGGGCAGAGCUGGGCGGUAGACGGAUAAGGCACACCGCAAGCUCCCCCUCGCCCCCUCUGCAAACAUUAGUGGCCUCUCCCUUGGGCUUUGCACUUGCGAAUCAAGAGGGGGGACAGAGACCACCCUGGGCCCCAUCACCCCUCACCAGGAUCGGCUGCUUGGCAGUGGGCCGACAUGUCCACGGGGCCGCGAGGCCUGCUCGU
rnacentral:lncRNA from 1 species